rnacentral:misc_RNA from 1 species
AAUUCUCAAACCCUCUUGGUUUCUUGAUCAAGAUGGCUUUGGACUUUGGAGGUGUUUUGCUGGCUUUAUGAAAAGCCAGCUCCUCUUAAAUACAUUAGUGGGAUCCCCUUUGCCGAUCCCCAGGCGUGAUAAGAUGUUUCUACGUCUUGGGAUUUGCUCUGUUCUUUGGGAACCUGCUUCUAACCGUCUCAUGGGAGACAUCGUUCGAGUUUGCUCGACCCACGAACC